rnacentral:tRNA from 1 species
GGUGCCAUGGUGUAAUGGUUAGCACUCAAGACUUUGAAUCUUGCAAUCCGAGUUCAUAUCUCGGUGGAACCU